GACGAACGCUGGCGGCGUGCUUAACACAUGCAAGUCGAACGGUAAGGCCCUUCGGGGUACACGAGUGGCGAACGGGUGAGUAACACGUGGGUGGUCUGCCCUGCACUUCGGGAUAAGCCUGGGAAACUGGGUCUAAUACCGGAUAGGACCCUGGGAUGCAUGUCCUGGGGUGGAAAGCUUUUGCGGUGUGGGAUGGGCCCGCGGCCUAUCAGCUUGUCGGUGGGGUGAUGGCCUACCAAGGCGACGACGGGUAGCCGGCCUGAGAGGGUGACCGGCCACACUGGGACUGAGAUACGGCCCAGACUCCUACGGGAGGCAGCAGUGGGGAAUAUUGCACAAUGGGCGCAAGCCUGUUGCAGCGACGCCGCGUGAGGGAUGACGGCCUUCGGGUUGUAAACCUCUUUCAGCACCGACGAAGCGCAAGUGACGGUAGGUGCAGAAGAAGCACCGGCUAACUACGUGCCAGCCGCCGCAGUAA
rnacentral:rRNA from 1 species